rnacentral:rRNA from 1 species
GUACACUCCUACGGGAGGCAGCAGUGGGGAAUUUUGGACAAUGGGCGAAAGCCUGAUCCAGCAAUGCCGCGUGCAGGAUGAAGGCCUUCGGGUUGUAAACUGCUUUUGUACGGAACGAAAAAGCUCCUUCUAAUACAGGGGGCCCAUGACGGUAACGUAAGAAUAAGCACCGGCUAACUACGUGCCAGCAGCCGCGGUAAUACGUAGGGUGCGAGCGUUAAUCGGAAUUACUGGGCGUAAAGCGUGCGCAGGCGGUUAUGUAAGACAGAUGUGAAAUCCCCGGGCUCAACCUGGGAACUGCAUUUGUGACUGCAUGGCUAGAGUACGGUAGAGGGGGAUGGAAUUCCGCGUGUAGCAGUGAAAUGCGUAGAUAUGCGGAGGAACACCGAUGGCGAAGGCAAUCCCCUGGACCUGUACUGACGCUCAUGCACGAAAGCGUGGGGAGCAAACAGGAUUAGAAACCCUGGUAGUCCA